rnacentral:rRNA from 1 species
AACGAACGCUGGCGGCAGGCCUAACACAUGCAAGUCGAACGCUGUAGCAAUACAGAGUGGCAGACGGGUGAGUAACGCGUGGGAACCUUCCCAAUGGUACGGAAUAGCUCAGGGAAACCUGAGGUCAUACCGUAUAAGCCCUUAGGGGGAAAGAUUUAUCGCCAUUGCAUGGGCCCGCGUCGGAUUAGCUAGUUGGUGAGGUAAUGGCUCACCAAGGCGACGAUCCGUAGCUGGUUUGAGAGAAUGACCAGCCACACUGGGACUGAGACACGGCCCAGACUCCUACGGGAGGCAGCAGUGGGGAAUCUUGGACAAUGGGCGAAAGCCUGAUCCAGCCAUGCCGCGUGAGUGACGAAGGCCUUAGGGUUGUAAAGCUCUUUUGCCGGGGACGAUAAUGACGGUACCCGGAGAAUAAGUCCCGGCUAACUUCGUGCCAGCCGCCGCCGUAA